UCAAGUUUGAUGCCGAAAAAUCAGUCGCAUUUAAGCAGACACACGAAACACUAGCUGCUUCGCGUAAAAUAAAGACGUCGAUUGUUAAUAAGUCAAGAGAAGUUACUUUGUGGGGCUACUAUCCAUAGCAGUAUCAGUGUUCAAAUAGAACUGGAGAAUGAUCGAGAUAGAAGAUUCGGAUUAGGAGAAGAGGAGAAAAUUAGACGUCCUCCUCUACAUUGAUCGCCACAUUGACUUGACUGGCUCAAAGCUCAACUAGAAUUCAAACGGCAAGGAGGGAAAGUUUUUUGUCAUCAUAUUCUCCAUGUUAGACCGAGUGGGAUCAACUUUUUUUUAUAGUUUAGAUAGGUGUCUAAGCGAAGUGUGGCCGGUGCAAGGUGACAUCUGUCCUCAUGGCACGCGAUCCACGAACAGAAGAGGCUACUGCAAGGUGAUCCUGCAAUGGCCUCGGGAAGAGUAACCCUUCCUGUGAGUUGAAGUUUCGCCUGCUCUCUCUCUCUCUGUUAUAUGUUAAAGUGUCAACUGUUACUUUUAAAAUAGAUUUUUUUUUAACGCCGUACGUUUUUCUUUCGCCGAAUUAAUUUUUGACACUUUAACCUGACUUUUCUUACAAAUUUGACGUGAUGGAACAAUUUGCUUGCCGGAUUCGUGUUCAUCAGCGCGCAAAAAUACAUCGAAAAUGAUAAAGUUUAUUCAAACAACAGUAAAGAAGUCUAAAAACGGAGGCCUGUGUAAUUAUAUAAAUUUGAUUUUUUGAAGUUUUGGUGUUUCAAAUGUUGAUGCUUUCACCUGCCCUAAAUCUAGAAACCGGUUCUAGAAGAAAAUGUUGACCCUUCGAGAGGGAGUGCUUUCUCUUUUCUUCUAAUGUCUCUUCUGUUUCUGUAUCAUUAUAUUUUUCUGGUUGCUAAGUACUGCAUUCAGCUUUUGCAGACAAAACUUUUUUUUGUUUUUUCAGAGAAAUAUUUAAAGUUUAGUUUAGACAUCUCUUCAUAUAUCUAUUU